rnacentral:lncRNA from 1 species
CAUGCACAUGCCAGCACCAGCAUACACAACUGCAUGCUGACACUCUUCAAAGAAACUCACUGCUUCUGAGCACAUGAAACAAAUUAUUUUCUUGGUAUUAUAACUUUUUGUGAAUCUGUAUUUCUCAACCAGUUACUGCCACUGGUUGGUUGUGGGUUGUCUGAAGUGCCCCAAAUCUCAUCAACACCCAUCACAGUGGUCUGUGCCACAUAAUCCAUAGUAAUGUUUAAAUAUACUUCUGUAUUAUCGCAGAUGGCAUUUGUACGGUGAAGGAUCAAAACACAAGUCAGAAAUAACUGCUUACCACAGAGAUAGGCUUCAUGUCCCAUUUUAAGAGAACUGACCAAAUAUAAAAUGUAGGACUCCUAGAGUUAGUACUUUUAGUUAUGAUAAAAUAUUCAUGUAAAGAUAAUCAAGAUAUAACGUAACCUGCUCACAGGUCGCAUGCAAUGAAUGGAAUUGAGUCCUUUCAAUUUUGUAUGUGGAAUCCCUAACUCCCAAUGUGAUGGUAUUUGGAGAUGGGGCCUUUGGGAGGUGAUUUGGUUUAGAUAAGGUCAAGAGGGUAGGGCCCCCACUAUGGGGUUAGUGCCCUUGUAAGGAGAGAUAUCAGAGAGCUCUCUCUCUUUCUCUUCCCCUCCACUCCUUAACACCCCAAUCUCUCUCCCCCACGCCCCAUGUUUCCUCUCCCUCUCUCUCCCCCCACCAUGUAAGGACAUGGUAAGAAGAUACUCAUCAGCAAACCAAUCUGACAAUCCUCACCUGAAUGUCUGAUGCCUUGAUCUCGGAAUUUCUUCCAGCAUCUGAAACUGUGAGGAAUGUCAGUUGUUGAAACCCCCAGCCUGCAGCAUUUGUUAUGGCAGCCCAGGCUAAAACAACAUAUCUAUUUUGACUAUUCCAAAUAUACAAUAUCCUUGCUCACUACUUCACUUUUUAGGGGAAGAGUGUUUCAUUAUUAACCACAAUCUAGACAGGGUCAUGAAUAGGAGAAAGUUUGCCAUUCAAUAGGGGUAAGAGCCUGCAUAGCAUCAAAAGAGGCUAGUGAGGGCUGAGACAGUGGUUGGGGCCAGUCCAUCACUGCUCUAAAUUAGCUGACAUGUGUAACAUGUAGUGACACACUGCAGGAAUGUAGGGAGAGGGCUUUUUUCUUUGGGAAAGUUGUGAGCGUAGCAGCUAAAAAACUCAAUCUGUAAACUUACUCUAUUCAGAAAUCUUCCUCUGUCUUAUGUUUGGUGACAUGGAUGCCCCAAGCCAGUUUCCCUGGUUACAGAGGACUGCUCAUGAGAGAGAUUUAAAGAACAAGUUCAUCAACAUGGAGCAACAUCUCUACUACAUCUCCUGCUUAAAUAGCUUCACUAUUUAUAAACCCUUACACUUUCAAGUUUGAAGGAGACUAUGAGAAUGGGCCCAGGUUCCUUAUAUCACAUCUAGAAGCCACUGGUGAGGUUUUCUCAUUUACCUUUUAAUACACCAUUCUUCUUGAAUGUCCUUCCAAAUAUUUGUUUGAAUCCUUUGCCUUCUGGAAAAACAUUGCUGCACUCCAAGCUCCAACUCUAAGAUGAAAAUGAGCUAUGUAAAAAUAGUUUUAAGAAAUAGCAGCAGAAAUAGUCAAGGUAACAGAAAAAGUUGACAUCUUAAUACCUUAAACUUUUAAAAACUUUAUUCAAAAUUUUAAAAGUUUCCAUAAGGACAUAUAGAGGAUCCACCCUCAUGCUUCCAGAGACCUAGAACUACACAUUCCAAUCAAUGAGGUUGAAAGGAAGAUGGAGAUCGAGGGAAAUACACUAGAAAUAAAUCAGCUAUGAUAGAUGGAUUGGAGGAAACGAAGGAAAGAAGCAGCUUUCGUGAUGUGAGAAAACAGUAAACAUGUGAGUGAAAAAACAGAGACUUACACAUUGAGAGAGAGAACUCAAGAUGCAGAGAAGAAAUCUUGGGAAGUCUUGAGCACAUGAUGAGGCACCAGGAGGGAGAACCCUGAAAAUGCUGAUGUAAUGUUAUGUAAAUGUCCCUGAGGUGGUGCAAAGAUGGAAACUGCUCCCCAGUGACUUAUGGCCAUGGAGCAUGGGUACCACUCCUUUCAUCUCCGUGUGUGUACAGCAAGGUAUCUGAAGCCUCAACAGAAUUCAGUGAAAUCUGACAGAUGACUCACUCACAGAGUUUAUUGCCAAGUCCAAACUCAUACUGCUUAUUUCACAAGAGGCUAAUAAAUCAGGAGACAAGUUGUUGGGGCAAGGAAUAAUGACUUUAUUUGGGGAGCCAGCAGACUGAGUGGGUGGUGGAAUUUUGUCCCAAAGAACCAUCUUACCCGUAUUAGAAGUCAGGCUUAAUUUUUAAUUUUUUAUUAGAGUAUAGUUGAUUUACAGUAUUGUGCCAAUUUCUGCUGUACAGCAUAGUGGCCCAGCCAUUUACAUAUAUAUAAAUUCCCUUUUUUAUAUUAUCUUCCAUCACACUCUAUCCCAAGAGACUGGAUGUAGCACCCUGUGCUAUAUGAUAGAACCUCAUUGCUUAUUCAUUUAAAAAUAAUAGUUUGCAUCUACUAACUCCUAACUUCCAACCCAUCCCACACUAUCUCCCUCCCUCCCCCUCAACCAAAGGUCUGUUCUCUAUGUCUCUGAGCCUGUUUCUGUUUUGUGGAUAGGUUCAUUUGUGACAUAUUUCAGAGUCCAUGUAUGUGAUAUCAUAUGGUAUUUGUGUUUCUCUUUCCAGAAGUCAGGCUUCUUUUAUACAAAAAGGGAAGGGGUUGUAGGUGGUUGUUGCAAACUUCUUCAUUUCAGAGUCCUUUGUUCUUGCAUCUGCAGGUAAGUCAGGUCAUGAUGUUCCUGUAAACCUGCAACAAAACAAAUGUUAAUCUCUGUUCUGCAACUUUUUAUCUCUCUAUGAAUGGACUCUUAAAGGUCAGAGCCCUGAGAGUAGGUUAUCCUGUAUAUUUCAGGCUAUAGGCAACAUUGUUUUACAAAAGGCACAGAGCCAGCCUGACUCAGCACUGGCAACAGAGCAAGCAAACAGGUUAAAGUAAAAGAAAUAGAUUCAACAUGGACUCAAUUUUUUUUCUCCCCUAUUACAUGUUCAUAGUGAUGAUUUCCUGACUUUGCUCCAUCAGGACAAAGGUUUGUUAGAAUUACAAACAAGGGUCACUUCACCAAUCCCCACAGCUUCUCUGGGUCAGCUUAACCAGUUUUAUGCUCAAGAGGUAUUGCUAGAUGGUAUAAGAAGAGUCCCAGCAUGUUUUUCCUGACCUAGGCAAGGGACUGGUGAGAUUCUGAAAUAUCAAUAUCAGAAUCCUGGAAUUCACUGUGCCUGGAUCUUUGAGAACAUUACUGCAAAAUUUAGCAGCCUCCAAAGAUUCCCACAGAGAAAGAAAAUAUACCCAUAGAUUCUAGGUAUUUUUGCUCUGUUCUUUGCUUUUAAAAUGAAGGGCUUUCAUCAACAUUAAAAGAAAAAAUCCACUAGAAUAUUAGUAAAACACAUGUAAAGAUAUUUCACCGAAGUGAAUAUACAGAUGAAAAAUAAGCACACAAAACUGUCUUCAACAUUAUUAGUGAUUAGUGAAAUAGAAUUUAAGUCCACAUGUAAUAACACUGCCCAACAAAAAUUUUUAAAAAGUGAUAACUGCACCUCAAAAGGCUUUGUCUAGGAGAUUGGAAGUUCUUCACAGCCUUAACCUUCUGUUAGCUUGUGUAUAAAUAUCAUGAAAACGAAGCAAAAAUAAGGCUGGAGGAAUGUGGUUAAGGCUUACCAAGAGGACCAGAAUCUCUGAGGCUGCCUGCAAGUGUCUGUAGCAGGAAAAAAAAAAAAAAUGUAGCCACAUUUUUCCAUAUUAUUCACCAGCCCAGAGUAAUGUCCUGUAUUGUUUUUCUUUUGUUGUAGUUGUUCCUCCUUUUUUGGCCAAUUCAUUUUGGGGCUAGCACUGUCAUUCAUGUUUCAACACCAUGAAGCUUGUCUGGACACAAUGUCUGAUAAUGAGGGAGCUGGUUUGCUUCAAGGCCCUGCAUCCCCCCUGGAAAAGAGCUGGAAACAUACUCAAUGGAUACAAUGCAGCCAAGGUGGAUGUGAAGAGUAAUUGCAGAAAAUUUGAAAAUGCAGUGUGGCAAUGUUCCUAAAAAUAGGACACACUGGGAAAUGGGCUGAAAAGGAUUUUAUGUUUCUGAAAAACAUGAUGUGAGGAAUAGUAACAGUUCAGGCUGACACUGUUGGACACAUGAAUCACAUCUUUACAUUAGCAUUCAUGAGGGAGACCGGGAAAAGUGCAUGAAAAACACAGAUGGGCCUUUCAUGAUGGGAAGGGACGGGACUGCAGAAACAAAGUGCCUCACUGGAGAAAAUAAAAAGAAAUUAGUGUUAUUAAAAGAAAAGUGUAUCAAUGUGGUCUUUUUGUAAAACCUAAUCCUUUUCCUCAGCAAUUUCAAGAACAAUGUGUGUUCCUAAAAAUUGCCCCCUGUGCCUUUUCUCAUUUCCUCUGAGUAAUUCAGUACUCUGUUAUUUUUAGAAACCCCUUAUUUGUCUACUUAGUAGGAAUGUUUAUUAAAUUUGCUAUGAGUUAUCAAAAAUUUAUUCCAUAACUUUGAGAACAAGCCAAGUUAUUAGAAACUGUUUCUGGAUUUGCUGGAGAGAUUUCAUUUCCUUUGAAAUUUACGCAUUUGAUUGUAAUGCAUUUGAAAUGUCAGAAAGCUGGAUUUGUGUGUACUUUCUCCAUCUCUGACUUUCUGUUUUAAUAUGAAAUCUUGAACACAUUUGUUUGUUUGAUCUGAAUGUGUCAAUGGUGUAUUAGCUCAUGAAAUGGAACUCUCCUAACAGAGCAAAAUGAUGCUGAAUAUAUCAUGAUAAAACUAUAUGUUAGUGCAAAUAUGUAGAAAUUCCUUCAGUGACUGUAAUCAUAUUAGACAAUAUUAACUGUGAAUAUAUAAUCUACAUAUAUAUACUCUUUCAUAUUGCAACAUGCUGUUUUUCUUCAUCUCCAUGCUAACAAUGGUUUUAGAUAAUUUAUAUUGUCUACCACCAACAUAUUCCCAAUUCUGAUAGUUUUGGGGAUUUAGGAUGAUCAAGAUUUAAGUUUCUUAUGAGAAAGAAAUUGAUCUUAGUCCAUAUUCUCUUUUCUAAGGAAAGUUUUCAUUUUGAGAUAAGUUCAGAUUCACCUGUGGUUAUAAAAAUUAAUACAGAGAGAUCUUCUGUACCUUUAUUCAGCUUCCCCCAGUGGUAACUUCUUAAAAAGGCAGAGAACUGUACCUCAGUCAGAACACUGACAUUGAAUGAUGUAGACAUGGAACAUUUACAGUCAUCAUAACAGAACAUUUCCAUCACUGCAGAGAUCAUUUUACCAAUUUAUAGCCAUACUCAUGUCCUUCUUGACCCCUCCUCCACUUACUAACCUGGAGCAGCUACUAAUCUUAGCCAGUUCCUUUUUAUUGCUGAGAGGUGUUACAUGUUACAGACAUACCACUAUUGCAUUAACCACUCACUGGUUAAAGGGUGUCUGGGUUGUUUCAGCUUUUGUCUCUUCCCAACCUAGCUCCUAUAAGCAUCUGUGUACAGAUUUUGUGUGAACAUGUUUUCAUAACUCUAGGAUAAAACCCCCAGUAAGGUAAGUACUAGGUUGUAUGGUAGUUACUGAUUUAGAUUUAAAAACACCUGCAGGAGUUCCCGUCGUGGCGCAGUGGUUAACGAAUCCGACUAGGAACCAUGAGGUUGCGGGUUCGAUCCCUGCCCUUGCUCAGUGGGUUAACGAUCCGGUCCGGCGUUGCCGUGAGCUGUGGUGUAGGUUGCAGACGCGGCUCGGAUCCCGCGUUGCUGUGGCUCUGGCGUAGGCCGGCAGCUACAGCUCCGAUUAGACCCCUAGCCUGGGAAACUCCAUAUGCCGCGGGAGCGGCCCAAGAAAUAGCUAAAAG